rnacentral:rRNA from 1 species
AUUGAACGCUGGCGGCAUGCCUUACACAUGCAAGUCGAACGGCAGCACGGGAGCAAUCCUGGUGGCGAGUGGCGAACGGGUGGGUAAAGUAUCGGAACGUGCCCAGUCGUGGGGGAUAACGUAGCGAAAGUUACGCUAAUACCGCAUACGAUCUAUGGAUGAAAGCGGGGGAUCGCAAGACCUCGCGCGAUUGGAGCGGCCGAUAUCAGAUUAGGUAGUUGGUGGGGUAAAGGCUCACCAAGCCGACGAUCUGUAGCUGGUCUGAGAGGACGACCAGCCACACUGGGACUGAGACACGGCCCAGACUCCUACGGGAGGCAGCAGUGGGGAAUUUUGGACAAUGGGCGAAAGCCUGAUUCAGCCAUGCCGCGUGCAGGAUGAAGGCCUUCGGGUUGUAAACUGCUUUUGUACGGAACGAAAAGGUUUGGCCUAAUAAGCUGAGCUCAUGACGGUACCGUAAGGAUAAGCACCGGCUAACUACGUGCCAGCCGCCGCGGUAA